rnacentral:lncRNA from 1 species
CUUGAAUAUUAUUAUAGAUAGAGAUAAACUGUAAACAGCAAUAAUGUUCAGCAAAAAAAGAUUUACAAAUAAGUCAACAUGACUGAAAUGGUCAGUUGAUCCUUUAGGAGUUUAUUGCCCUUAAUAGUCAAUUUUUAACCAUUUUUCGUAAAUCUUAGUAAUCUUUUACAUCUUCUCCUCUGAAACUACUUGGCCAAAAUCAUCAUUGGGGUAUCUUGUUUAAAAAAUGUGUCCGGUGACCCGGCCAACCAUCCAAGAUGGCCGCCAUGGCUAAAAAUAGAACACAGGGGUAAAAUGCAGUUUUGGGCUUAUAACUCAAAAACCAAAGCAUUUAGAGCAAAUCUGACAAGGGGUAAAAUUGUGUAACAGGUCAAGAUCUAUCUGCCUUGAAAUUUUCAGAUAAAUCGGAUAACCUGUUGUUGGGUUGCUGCCCCUGAAUUAGUAAUUUUAAGGAAAUUUUGCUGUUUUUGGUUAUUAUCUUGAAUAUUGUUAUAGAUAGAGAUAACUUGUAAACAGCAAUAAUGUUCAGCUAAAUAAGAUCUAGAAAUAAGUCAACAUGACCAAAAAUCGUCAGUUGACCCUUAAGGAGUUGUUGCCCAUUUUAUUCAAUUUUUAACAAUUUUCACUAAUUUGGUAAAUUUUUGUAAAUUUUUACAAAAUAUUUUUCACUGUAUCUAAAGGUCCAAGUUUAUUAUAGAUAGAGAAAAUUUUAAGUACCAAGAAUGUUCAGUAAAGUAAGAUCUACAAGCACAUCACUAUCAGCAAAACACAAUUUUGUCAUGAAUCCAUCUGUGUCCUUUGUUUAAUAUGCACAUAGACCAAGGUGAGCGACACAGGCUCUUUAGAGCCUCUAGUUAUACCCUCUAGUUUGUUGUUGGUCGAGAUAGCUAGUAUAACCAAUCUUUGAUACGACGGCUUUAGGUCUAUUUCCGAUGACCAUGUGAUUUUUAACUAUACUCAAUAAUAGUCAGCUCCUAUCAAGAGUAAAUUUUAAAGCUAUAUAAGCGCAAAUCCGGCUAUGGUUUUGGCGGCGGAUCCUUAAAGUUAACUGAAUUUCUUUAUUGGUGUUAGGCUACAAUUAAAAUGUAUGGUAUAUUCGUACGAGUCCCAAAAUGUGCUCCACUGCAAAACGCGGCAAAUUUAAUUUAGGUAAUCCAUGGUUAUUACUAAAUAUACUAGGUGGUUGUAUGUAGGAAUAUUCUUCGUGAUUAUUGUAUGUUUGUAAAUUCGGGUUAGGAAAGUUCUGGUAUUAUUUGCCUCUAACAGAAUUCUCACGAAUAAUCACGAAGAAUAUUCCUACAUACAACCACCAAUUAUAUUUAGUAAUAACCAUGUAAGAUGUGCUCCUUUGUGGUGUAUUGUUCUCCUUUAAGGUGUUUACGCUCUUUUGUGGUUAAUUGUGGUCCUUUGUUGUGUAUGUGCUCCUUUAUGGUCCUUUUAAGUCUAUGUACCCCUCUGUGGUCCUUUUUAGUGUAUGGACUCCUUUGUCAAUGUGCUCCGUUGGUGUGCAUUGCGCUCCUGUGUGGAGUAGUGUACAUUUGUGAUGUAGUGCUGUUUUGUGUAAGAUGUGCUCUUUUGUGGUGUAUUGUUCUCCUUUAAUGUGUUUACGCUCUUUUGUGGUUAAUUGUGGUCCUUUGUUGUGUAUGUGCUCCUUUGUGCUGCAUUGUACUCCUUUUGGUGUAUUGUUCCCAUUUGCUGCGCAAUGUACUCAUUUGUUGUGCAUUUUACUCCUAUUUAUGUAAGUACCCCUUUGUGCAGCAUUGCACUCCCUGUUAUUGCAUUCUGGUCCUUUGAGGUGAAUUGUGGUCAUUUUUUGUGUAUGUGCUCAAUUGAGGUAUUGUACUCCUUUGUGGUGGAUGUGUCUUUUUUGUACAUUGUGCUCCUUUCUACACAGUUUUAUUUGCAAAAAUAUUAGAAUAUUAGGAUAUUUUUUUUAUUAUGUUAAUUUUACCAUAUAUUAUUUUCAAAUUACUAUGUACAUAUAAUUAUAUCGAUAAUAAUAAUUCCAUGCAUAAGAUCAUGAUAAUUAUGUUUUUAUAUUAUUGUUACCAUAUCAUUAUUUUUAUAAAUAAUUUUACCAUAUUAUUAUGUUGAUGUUUAUAUAUGAUUUUUACAUAUAUUUUUUUUCUCACCACUAUGUAUCUAUCAAUGUAUGUUACACAUCGCAGGAUCCAAUUGCUGAUAUAUGCGCAUUGGAAGAGGUCGUUGGUUAGUAUAAGUAUUGGAGGGCAGUGAUGUUAUUUUCUAGGUGGUUCUACUUCACUAUCGUUUUAGGAAAAAGGAGUUCUUUCAGAUGUCUGUUUUGCAGUCCAUCAAAUGGAAUGAUCUGCUAUUCAUGCUAUUUAUGGGUUUCUUCUUGUCUUUUUGUGAUGUUCUUGUAUUUAAAAUCAAUAAUGUUAUUUGUCUUGACUUGGCUUUUGUUUCUGUUUUCUUGUAGAUACAUGUAUUUUAAUCGUUAACCGACAUCAAUAACUGAAAAACUUUAGAGAACAUAUUUAGCCUCUGGUGUUUCCUUGGUUCUUUUAAGAGGUGGUUUUAAAAUCAUAUUUGUAACGCAUCCUGUUUCUCUGGAUUUAUAGUCGUGCAGGAUGAAACGUGCACUUCUUUUCUGUAUGCUUUCUAUCUUCUAUUGGUGAAUGGGUUCCAAGUGAUAGGAUGGUAUUCUAGGACCGAUCUAACCAUGGCUUUUAGAGUAGGAUAGUUUGUUGCACUCUCAGGGGUACUUGCGUAAGUUUCUUAGAAGGAAACCAAGUGUACAGCGUGUCUUGCUUAUAAAUUUCACAAUGUGCCUGGUCCACUUUCGGUCAUCGGACAAAUUAAGACGUAGGUAUGGAUUUGUUUGAACUUGCUUUAAUAUCAUGUUGUCUUGUUGGUUACCAUAUAAUUGUGUUUAUAUAUGUGUGUAACACUAUACUUAUGUUUAUAUAUGAGUGUUACCACAUACUUACGUUUAUAUAUGAUUGUUACAAUAUAAUUUAUGUGUAUAUACGAUUUUCACCAUUUUACUUUCUAUGUACAUAUAAUGAUUCCUGAUAUCGUAUUAAUGUUCAUUAUAAACAUGUAAUAAACAGUAUUAUAUAGUAAAAAAAUUUAUUAAUAAUUUUAAUAAAAUGAU